rnacentral:lncRNA from 1 species
AUGGGGGGGGGGAAGCGUAGCAUGAUGUGGGUUGGCCGCCUACAGAAAGUACAUCUAAGGCUGAGUCCCAAGCCCGUCCACUUCUGCCGGCCCGCGCCCCCUGACCCUUGCCGGGGCACAGUGGGGGGGGGGUGCAAGCCCAGGACCCACACUCCAACCAGCCAAGGCAGGAUCUCCGCGGCUGAUACAGGCUCCUCGGUCUCUGGGGGUCGCCCACGGAGCCCGACCUUCCCUUUCCAGCCGGGACCAACUGCAGAACUUGGGGCGCAGGAUUUCUGCAGGAUCCUGGGUCCCUCCCUCCAGACCUUCCUUCUGGGCUGUGUAGAAAACCCGGCCAACCUAGCAGAGCCCGUCGGAACUGCUCCACGAGGCUGGCAGGAGGGCACAGGGAGCCUCAAGAAUAGAAGAAACCUUGUGAAAAACAAUGUGGUUUGCUCCCCAAGUUAAAACAACGACAAAAAAGCAACAACAUCUCUUGAGGACAUUCAAGACCCUUCAUCUCGCCAAGCUGGGCACUUUAAAUAGGCCACAGGUCCCCCAGGAUUCAUGGGAGCCAACUGAUUCAGAGACUUAAGCAAACAGCGCUGAAGUUUCCGUGCUGGUUUCAUUUUAAGCUUUUAAAUCGAAAGAGAAAAUGGUCUUCACUGCUAACAGGGAUAGAGACUGGACCUGUGGUUUACUUGGAUGGGAGACUUUUAGGUGAGAAAACUCCUCCUACAAAGCCAGUUCCAGUUGGUAUCUCCUCUAUAAUUUAUAAUCUUAGAGAAUGACCCAGGACAGAGGUGCCAGAUCAGAUUAAAUGUAUUUGGGAAAUACUUAAUAAAAUAAAUGAAAAUAAUAGACCA